CCUUUCUCAAUCUUUUCUUUCUCGUCGUCGUUUCCUCUUUUCGAAACGUUCUGCGUGCAAAUCAAAUACUUGUACAUCUCGUUUUGCCCAUUUGUUCUAGAGAAGAGAAAGAAAGAGCACCUCAAGCUUCUCUAGCCGUUUUUUA
ensembl:ncRNA F29F11.9 ncRNA